rnacentral:rRNA from 1 species
GACGAACGCUGGCGGCGUGCUUAACACAUGCAAGUCGUACGGUAAGGCCCUUUCGGGGGUACACGAGUGGCGAACGGGUGAGUAACACGUACGUAACCUGCCCACAACUUUGGGAUAACGCUAGUAAACUGGUGCUAAUACUGGCUAUGUACUACUGCUGCAUGGUGGGGGUUGGAAAGCUCCGGCGGUUGUGGAUGGACUCGCGGCCUAUCAGCUUGUUGGUUGGGUAGUGGCCUACCAAGGCGGCGACGGGUAGCCGGCCUGGGAGGGUGGCCGGCCACAUUGGGACCGAGAGACGGCCCCGACUCCCACGGGAGGCAGGAGUGGGGAAUAUUGCACAAUGGGCGCAAGCCUGAUGCAGCAACGCCGCGUGCGGGAUGACGGCCUUCGGGUUGGAAACCGCCUUCAGCAGGGACGAAGCUUUGUGUGACGGUACCUGCAGAAGAAGCACCGGCUAACUACGUG